rnacentral:lncRNA from 1 species
CAUAAUUCUUUUUUUCUUCCUCUCUCCUCUCUCUCUUCACUCUCUCUAGUCGCCGCCCCUCCGCCGCCGCCAAAAAUCGCCCACUAGCGGCGGACCACCUCCAAACACCUCCAAAUUCACACCAUGUAAUCUCCACAACCUCCUCUUUCCAUAUCGCCAAGCCAAAUCCUUCAAAACCCUCUCAAACUCCUUAAAUCUUAGAUCUAGGAAACUUUAGCCGUCACUUUUUUUGCCCAAAUUCUUGGAGCUCCGGCCACUACCACUCUCACAAUACCUACAUCAAUGGAUAGAGCUUCUCAAGACCUACCUAUUGAUGUCAAUUUCACAUCGAAAAUUCGGCGAUCAAAAAUCGAGCCAAAUUCCGGCGACCUCCCCGAAUGCCCUCGUUUGGCAUACCACCAUUGUUUCGGCCACUUGAAUUGUGAAAUGGUAAAAAUACUAUUUGUUUAUUCAUGCCUGAUUUUUUAUUUUAUUUUUAUCUUUUUAGAUUUUAUUUUGUCUCUUAUUAAUUAUUUUAUCAUUAGAUUUUGAAGUUUGAAAUGCUAAAUAUUCUGUUUUUGUACUUGUUGAAGUAGUAAAAUAGUUUUGUAUUGAUAGAAGUGAGGUAAUGAGGAAUACUUGACAGUAUAGGGUACCUGUGUGGUUGCUUAUUUACUGCUUCAAGACUUUUUGAGUACAAAACUCAAAAGUCAUUUGUUUGGUAAGAAAAUAUAGACUUUUGAACAGUUUUUGAACAAAAGUCUUUUUUUGAAUAGUGAAGAGCAGAUUUUGGUUAAAAUACUCUCUUUUGGACAGGAUUGAAUAAAAAAGUCUUGCCUUUUGAAUUUAAGUGCAUAUUUUGUGAAAAUAUUUGUCAAAAAAGACUGACUUUUAAUCAUGAAAUAGCUGGUUAUUUCACAUAUAUAAAAAUACUUCUUUAUAGUAGUAGGAGAGAUCUAGACACACAAAAAAAAGGGAGAGAAAAAUCAGCAGCUAAAGCAUCCUUUAACGACUAAAAUUUCGAGUUUUUGUGAGUUGAUUCUUAAGUGCAAAACUUUUUUUAAAAGAAAAUAUAGUAGUCUUGAAAGCUUCCUCCGGAGUUACAUAAUUGUUGUUUUCAACUGUUUUGCUGGGUAAUUCUGGUUUCAUUUUUCUUGGGUUUGAAAUCUACUGGUUGUCGCUGUCUUUUGCUGUGCUGCUGCCCGUUUCAUUAUUCUGUUGUCCGCUUCUUGAUUUUAGAAAGAGCUGACUUUGCUGUAUUUAUUCUUCUUUCUGCUGUCCGGGUAAUAUUCAGACCAUGUAAAGUCCUAAAAUCGAGUUGGAAUGAAAGACAAUGAUGUUGGGAAAUAUUUUUUGCUUC